rnacentral:rRNA from 1 species
GAUGAACGCUGACAGAAUGCUUAACACAUGCAAGUCGAUGGGGAAGUGGUGCUUGCACCAUGGCAACCAUGGCGGACGGGUGAGUAACGCGUAAGGGACUUACCUGCAGGACUGGGAUAACAGGGGGAAACUCCUGACAAGACCGGAUAAUGUCAUGGAGCUGCAUGGCUUUAUGAUGAAAGGAGACGCCUGCGGAGAGCCUUGCGUCCUAUUAGCUAGUUGGUGAGGUAAUGGCUCACCAAGGCGAAGAUAGGUAGCCGGCCUGAGAGGGUGGACGGCCACAAGGGGACUGAGAUACGGCCCUUACUCCUACGGGAGGCAGCAGUGGGGAAUAUUGGACAAUGGGGGCAACCCUGAUCCAGCAAUUCUGUGUGCACGAAGAAGGUUUUCGGAUUGUAAAGUGCUUUCAGCAGGGAAGAAGUAAGUGACGGUACCUGCAGAAGGAGCGACGGCUAAAUACGUG